UCGAGUGGAAUAGAGGUUUUUGUACGAGUGUUUCAUUAGAUUGUAUCACUGUGGUGGACUUUCGGUGGAGGAACUAAACUGGUGCUCGGUAAGUUUGUCUCUUUUAACUAUCUUGGUUAAAAAAGUAUUGAAAUGUAUAGAUUUUAACAUUUUAUUUAUUUUAUCAUCACAUUUAGAGUUUCAAAAGAACUGAAUUAAACUCUCAGGAAACAAAUAUUGUCCAAAACACAUUUCCAUGAUGUGUCUCACUUUGAGUUUUAUCAGUUCAUUUUAUUUCAUAUUUAUUUCCAUUAAUGUUUACACUUCAUAUAAAGUUCAUAUUUUAUUAUAGAUAUUAUGCAUGGAAAAACAUCAAAAUGUAAAUAGUUACUUUUUGUAGUUCAGUCAAUGAUUUUGAAUCUCUUUUGUUCAUAUCAUGCUUCAAAAACUUACAAAAUACUAAAUAUGUGAAUGUUUAGAAAAGUUGAUUCAAUUGUUUUUAUUAUUAUUAUUAUUAUGAAAUAAUUUCCAUUUGGUGUGAGAUAUAGUAAUAAAAUAUCAGCUUGAAACUUUUAGAUUUUGAAAAGUGUAAAAAAAUAUUUAAUAGUGUAAGAACAUUUCAAGUUCAAGUUAGACAAUGUAAGAACUUUAUGAUGAGAUUUGAGACUAUACUGGAAUUAAAGCGUUCAGUGUCUUUGUACAGUGUCAGCAUUCAUGUACAUCGUUUCAUUUUAUGAGGUUUCAUUUAAAUGCAUGUAGUGAUUAUAUAUAGUUUGUAUAUUGUGUAUUAAUCAGCUGUAGUGAUGUUGAAUAAGAUGAAUGAUGAGAUUGUAGUGAUUUUGACUGCACUCCUCAUGUCUGCUGCUGAAAGUCCUGUUGAAAUGCUGUGAAUGCUGCAGGGCAGAAGAGUGCUGGAGCUGCAGUGUGUUUUCUCUGUGUUUGUGAAUGUGUUGUGUUUGUCUCCUGCAGCUGGUCCCACAGUGAAGCCCUCAGUGUCUCUGCUGCCGCCCUCUUCUCUGCAGAUCUCUGGAGACUCAGCCGCACUGCUCUGCCUGCUCAGCUCUUACUCUCCACAGGGGGCGCUGGUGAGCUGGAAACUGGACGGCUCAGAGGUCACCGAGGGGGUUGUGACCAGCGCAGAGAGCGAGCAGGACGGCCGCUACAGCCGCAGUAGUGUCCUGACCCUCAGCAAAGCACGCUGGGAAGCGGGAGAGCAGUACGUCUGCAGAGUAACACAUGAUGGAGCUCCUCAUGAGGCCUCGUUCCACAAGAGUCGCUGUUAG